UCCCCCGACACCAAGCCUUGCGCCCGACGCCUCCGAGCCCUAACCGCCGGAGCACUAACCGCCGGCCGCGACGGUUUCUUCCUCGCCGCCACCCACUUCCUCUUCUUCUCUUCUCUUCCAAGUGCCGGCAACAUUUCCGCCCAGCCGUGCCCUAGAACGAGCGCCGGAGCCGAUCCUUAGCCGCGUCGCUGCCACUCCUUCCCGAUGCCUUCCUCUCCUCUGCCCGACGCCGACGACGCCAGGGAGUAGAGAGUCGACGAUUGAGUGUCUUCUCUUCCCCCUGUGCUCGCAUACCGCCGACCGGCCCAUGCCCUAGCUUCACUGCCCGACGCUUACUUCGAUCGCCGAUGCCCUAGCCGAGCCCUGCUGAAGCUGUGCCCUUGCUCUGCCGCCGGCCACAGAAUAGGGUUUUUAAUCUGCUGCGGCUAAAUUGGUUUUCUGAUCAGUUGAGCGUCAACAGGAGCUUGGGAUUUAGUAACUUUGUGAUCCCCAGCAGC